UUAAUUUUAAGACAAAGUCUUAAAAACAAGGAAAUAACAUCUUGACCUUUAAUUUUCAUCUUAACUAAUCUUAACCUUUAAAAUAGAUAGAUCCAAGUGAAUAGAUUUAGACCAAUAAAAAGACUGCUUUUGAAAUACAAACACAAGGAAUAUUGGUUUCCGAUUGCGUCCCUUUCAUUGCGUCUCUUGAUUUCCUACCACACCAACAUAAACCUCACUCAGAGCUCCAUCACCACACUCAUCCUCUGUUACAAUCAUAUUUUGCCACCUCCGCCACUACACGAUCACCCACCUUCUCAAUCUCUCUUAAUUUACGAAUACAUAAUCAAACCAUAGCUACUAUCAGCCACCACUCUUCAAAAACAAAUCCUAAAACCUCUAAACUUUCUUUGUUAUUUUUAGCAAGACAUAUCAGAUUUCCUUGUGCUCACCGUUUCUAAUGAAACCCUUGGUUUCUGAUUUGUUUUCGAUGAGGAACAUGAGGAAUGGAGACACUGAGACAACCGACCAGUUCAAGUUCAAACCUCAACAGCGAGCCUUUUUUUCAUUUUACUGCCUUUAUAUAUUCAAGUUGUAGAUUCUACGAGAAAAAAGAGGACCGGAUCAAAUGUGUUGGAAAGAUACGAACUCAAAUGGGUAGAUCUGGAAUUUAUGUUUCUUUAUCAUAACACAUUUUGCUUACGGAUUCUUUAUUAUAGAUUAGUUGAUUUAAUUUUUCAUUUUUAAUUUGGCUUAUAUUGUUUGUUUAGAUUUUGUACGAUUCUCAAUCUCUUUAUUUAUUGUUACAGAUUAGAUCUUAUUUUUAAGUAUUGUUUUACUGAUGUUGUAUUUGUAUGGUUUUGAACAAAUGGAUUUAGUUCUUGUACAUAUCUCCAGAAAACGUUUCAUAUAUUGGU